UGUUUUUCUUACCUGUUUGUUGGGCAGGAAGUUCUGUAGUUCAGAGGGUUUUCUUUUACUGUUGUCCACAGUUCUGAGUCUGUUGUGGACAAGAUGUCACAGCUUUUUUUUUCUCUCUGUCUGCAUGAGAGGAAUAAGCCACGCCCCCUCAUCUCAUCCAGCUGAGUACACAGCUCCUCACCUCCCCUCCCCCCUGCUCUGUAUUCUAAGGACACAGGUCUGCACAGGAGAAGGACCUCACAGAGAAGAUAAGUGUUAUCUGAAGGGGAGGAUGAGAAGAGUGAGGGAGGAAGUUCUCCCCUGUAUGGCUUCAGAUGAUGUCAUGCCUGCUGGAUAACGCCCCUUCCCAGUUUGUGAACCUGAACCUGAGGCGGAGCAGAAAAUACAGAACAAAAUCAAGGCUGAUAUGCAAGGAAGAUUUGACAAAAUAAAGCAAACGUAGGGGGGAAAGAUAUGUGCAGAU